GGUCCCACUGUCGUGUGGCGGUGGUGUGACCAUUGCACCGCAACUAUGGUGAUGGCGGGGGUGUUCUGCUUUGGCUACAACACUAAUGUGCAGGUGCAGCCAACCAACCAUGAAGCGGAUGCAGGCAGACGCAACAAAUGCCGACAUGCCAUGGCUGCUGGAUCUAUCUGGCUGGUAGCAGUGACCUUCGUCUUCGACUUGGUGGUUCUAGGUGAUUGUCAGGAUAACGAGGAGGGCUAAACAAUGACAGUUGUGGCCUUCGUCUUUGACACCAUGUGUUGUUUUAGGGAAGUUUCUGGUUCAUAAUUGUUGUGAUUUCUUUGUACAUGUGCCUUCCCAUCGUUGGCCUCAUGUUUUAUCUGUUUGUUUGUACAAACUUCUACUACUCAAGUUUUUUUACAGUGGAAGGACACAUUAUGAAACUCAGGUUUCUAGGUCAGGUCCCAGCAGUGAUCAUCUGGUCAUGUUUUUAUCUGUUUGUUUAUAAAAAUUUCAACUUCUCAAGUUUCCGAAAGUGUUUAAUUGCUUCCUUGUUACUGCCGUGAUUGAAAAAAAUUCUAUUUUUUAUUCCAUUCUUUCGCAUCAAAUUAUUGGAAUUUGUGAUGUCAACUCGUUGGUCCUAGACCUGGGAUCAUUUGUGCUAUUUUUCAUUCUUUUCACCUGGGACCUCUCUAACUAGCCAUACAGAGAUCAAACUAUCUAUCUGCUGCAUGUAGCAAGUUAGUUGUUUAACUUUUAGUCUUACUUUGACAUGCUCAAUUCUCAAUCCAUAUUAUUUGAGAAAAUUGGUCCAUCUUAUUUGCAUGUGAUGAUGUUGAGAAGUUUGUGACUGACUACUUGCUAUGCAAUGUUAGUUUCCUUUGUUCAUUGAUUGAGUUAAUUAGUGGAGCAUUUCCAUUGUUUGUACUCUUCCUGGAUUGUAAAGUCUGAGCUUGUGGAUAUACCAUGUUGGGUGAAUGUUAAUAUUAUCACGUGCCAACCUGAAUUUGUGGUUUAUAAAUGUUCAGAAAUGAAGGAAGUCCAUGCAAAAAUUUCAAGCUUUUCUUACUUGAAUAAAAAUCUGAUCAUGACCAUAUUAAUAAUGUAUUUUCUGUUUUUUGCCGGUUCCGUUUGGUCUGGUAUAGGGAGCGUGACAUCGAUCGGUGUCGAGGAUGAUGU